rnacentral:tRNA from 1 species
UCCCGCGUAGCUCAGUUGGCAGAGCGUCUGACUGUUAAUCAGAAUGUCACAGGUUCAAGUCCUGUCGCGGGAG